AGAUUAAGUUAUUAAGGGCGCACGGUGGAUGCCUUGGCACUAGAAGCCGAUGAAGGACGUUACUAACGACGAUAUGCUUUGGGGAGCUGUAAGUAAGCUUUGAUCCAGAGAUUUCCGAAUGGGGAAACCCAGCAUGAGUUAUGUCAUGUUAUCGAUAUGUGAAUACAUAGCAUAUCAGGAGGCACACCCGGAGAACUGAAACAUCUUAGUACCCGGAGGAAGAGAAAGAAAAUUCGAUUCCCUUAGUAGCGGCGAGCGAAACGGGAAGAGCCCAAACCAACAAGCUUGCUUGUUGGGGUUGUAGGACACUCUAUACGGAGUUACAAAGGACGACAUUAGACGAAUCAUCUGGAAAGAUGAAUCAAAGAAGGUAAUAAUCCUGUAGUCGAAAAUGUUGUCUCUCUUGAGUGGAUCCUGAGUACGACGGAGCACGUGAAAUUCCGUCGGAAUCUGGGAGGACCAUCUCCUAAGGCUAAAUACUCUCUAGUGACCGAUAGUGAACCAGUACCGUGAGGGAAAGGUGAAAAGCACCCCGGAAGGGGAGUGAAAUAGAACCUGAAACCGUGUGCUUACAAGUAGUCAGAGCCCGUUAAUGGGUGAUGGCGUGCCUUUUGUAGAAUGAACCGGCGAGUUACGAUUUGAUGCAAGGUUAAGCAGUAAAUGUGGAGCCGUAGCGAAAGCGAGUCUGAAUAGGGCGUUUAGUAUUUGGUCGUAGACCCGAAACCAGGUGAUCUACCCUUGGUCAGGUUGAAGUUCAGGUAACACUGAAUGGAGGACCGAACCGACUUACGUUGAAAAGUGAGCGGAUGAACUGAGGGUAGCGGAGAAAUUCCAAUCGAACCUGGAGAUAGCUGGUUCUCUCCGAAAUAGCUUUAGGGCUAGCCUCAAGUGAUGAUUAUUGGAGGUAGAGCACUGUUUGGACGAGGGGCCCCUCUCGGGUUACCGAAUUCAGACAAACUCCGAAUGCCAAUUAAUUUAACUUGGGAGUCAGAACAUGGGUGAUAAGGUCCGUGUUCGAAAGGGAAACAGCCCAGACCACCAGCUAAGGUCCCAAAAUAUAUGUUAAGUGGAAAAGGAUGUGGCGUUGCCCAGACAACUAGGAUGUUGGCUUAGAAGCAGCCAUCAUUUAAAGAGUGCGUAAUAGCUCACUAGUCGAGUGACACUGCGCCGAAAAUGUACCGGGGCUAAACAUAUUACCGAAGCUGUGGAUUGUCCUUUGGACAAUGGUAGGAGAGCGUUCUAAGGGCGUUGAAGCAUGAUCGUAAGGACAUGUGGAGCGCUUAGAAGUGAGAAUGCCGGUGUGAGUAGCGAAAGACGGGUGAGAAUCCCGUCCACCGAUUGACUAAGGUUUCCAGAGGAAGGCUCGUCCGCUCUGGGUUAGUCGGGUCCUAAGCUGAGGCCGACAGGCGUAGGCGAUGGAUAACAGGUUGAUAUUCCUGUACCACCUAUAAUCGUUUUAAUCGAUGGGGGGACGCAGUAGGAUAGGCGAAGCGUGCGAUUGGAUUGCACGUCUAAGCAGUAAGGCUGAGUAUUAGGCAAAUCCGGUACUCGUUAAGGCUGAGCUGUGAUGGGGAGAAGACAUUGUGUCUUCGAGUCGUUGAUUUCACACUGCCGAGAAAAGCCUCUAGAUAGAAAAUAGGUGCCCGUACCGCAAACCGACACAGGUAGUCAAGAUGAGAAUUCUAAGGUGAGCGAGCGA
rnacentral:rRNA from 1 species